rnacentral:rRNA from 1 species
GAGAUCUUCGGAUCUAGUGGCGGACGGGUUAGUAACGCGUGGGAACGUACCCUUCACUACGGAAUAGUCCCGGGAAACUGGGUUUAAUACCGUAUACGCCCUUCGGGGGAAAGAAUUUCGGUGAGGGAUCGGCCCGCGUUAGAUUAGUUAGUUGGUGGGGUAAUGGCCUACCAAGACUACGAUCUAUAGCUGGUUUGAGAGGAUGAUCAGCAACACUGGGACUGAGACACGGCCCAGACUCCUACGGGAGGCAGCAGUGGGGAAUCUUAGACAAUGGGGGCAACCCUGAUCUAGCGAUGCCGCGUGAGUGAUGAAGGCCUUAGGGUCGUAAAGCUCUUUCGCCUGUGAUGAUAAUGACAGUAGCAGGUAAAGAAACCCCGGCUAACUCCGUGCCAGCAGCCGCGGUAAUACGGAGGGGGUUAGCGUUGUUCGGAAUUACUGGGCGUAAAGCGCACGUAGGCGGAUUAGUCAGUCAGAGGUGAAAUCCCAGGGCUCAACCCUGGAACUGCCUUUGAUACUGCUAGUCUUGAGUUCGAGAGAGGUAAGUGGAAUUCCGAGUGUAGAGGUGAAAUUCGUAGAUAUUCGGAGGAACACCAGUGGCGAAGGCGGCUUACUGGCUCGAUACUGACGCUGAGGUGCGAAAGUGUGGGGAGCAAACAGGAUUAGAUACCCUGGUAGUCCACACCGUAAACGAUGAAUGCCAGUCGUCGGGUAGCAUGCUAUUCGGUGACACACCUAACGGAUUAAGCAUUCCGCCUGGGGAGUACGGUCGCAAGAUUAAAACUCAAAGGAAUUGACGGG